CUUGACAUCCAGAGAACUUGGCAGAGAUGCCUUGGUGCCUUCGGGAGCUCUGAGACAGGUGCUGCAUGGCUGUCGUCAGCUCGUGUUGUGAAAUGUUGGGUUAAGUCCCGCAACGAGCGCAACCCUUAUCCUUGUUUGCCAGCGAGUAAUGUCGGGAACUCCAGGGAGACUGCCGGUGAUAAACCGGAGGAAGGUGGGGACGACGUCAAGUCAUCAUGGCCCUUACGAGUAGGGCUACACACGUGCUACAAUGGCGCAUACAGAGGGCGGCCAACUUGCGAAAGUGAGCGAAUCCCAAAAAGUGCGUCGUAGUCCGGAUUGGAGUCUGCAACUCGACUCCAUGAAGUCGGAAUCGCUAGUAAUCGUGGAUCAGAAUGCCACGGUGAAUACGUUCCCGGGCCUUGUACACACCGCCCGUCACACCAUGGGAGUGGGCUGCAAAAGAAGUAGGUAGUUAA
rnacentral:rRNA from 1 species